AUACGUACGGAGAAAAAUUAGACGAGCGAAAGAAACACCCCCCGCGUCGCCUCCUCUGGCGGCACGGGGGAGACCCCAUCCGCCGCCGCUGGGUAGCCACCCCCGUCCACCACCGCUGCGCCGCCGCCGGAGGGCCGGCCGGCAAAGCCGCGCCGCGCCCCGGGAUGGUGGCGGCGGGGCGGAUCCGUCUCCCCAACUUGCGUCUGCUUUCCCGCGCCCCUCUCGAGAUCCAUCUGCUGCCACCGUCGGGAGGCGCCCGCUUCUGCCGCGCCGUCGCCGGAGGGCCGGCCAGCUAGGCCGCGCCGGGGUGGAUCCGUCCCUCCCGUGCUUCCCCAACACCGCCCCUCCCCCCGCGCCCCCGAGUUCCUCGCGUGCGUCGCGGGCGCACCCUCCCAGCUGCUGUGUUCCUGCUGGUCCGGCGACAGGUGCGGCGUGCUAGGCCAUGGCCUUGUGCGCCUUUCCCUCCCCUGCGGUCCCCCCUUCCCUCGGCGUGGCCCAGUCCUCCUGGUGCUACUUGGGUGUGAUUUGGGCGGACCUGCGGCCGGUCGCGGGGGUGUUCGUAGCCUGCCUUUUUUGCAUUGGCGGACCCCCUUGUCUCCGGCGGCCCUUCCUCCCCUCAAGCCGCGGUGAAGGCUCACACGGUGGCCACGAGGCUACGGUGCUAGUGGCAGUCCCGGGGCUCCACAAGGUGGGUACUUGCUGGUGCUGCUCUGGCCCCGGUGACCUUGGACCCGCGUCUCUCGGGUGUCCAUGGCUGACGGCGUCCCUUGCCGGGCAGCUCGGGCCUCGGUGACCAGGCAGUUGCGUCCCUUCCAGCUCGUCUGGCUCACCGACGUCCCGACGGCUAUGGCCACGGUAGCAUGGAUCUGCGUCCCUCCAGUCUCUGCUUGCCGGUGUUGCUGAUCGCCGUCGCCCCAUCCGCUUGUGGCUUGCUUCGCCACUUGCCCUACUCUGUACGACUCAAAGCCUCCGUUUUCGCCAGAUCCAACGCUUGUGGGUCGGGAAGCGGUGCCACCAUCCGACAGCAGGUGCAGCCCCGCCAACCCCCCUUCCGACAUGGUGGCUCCGACCAGCGUGGCUUCCUCAUCCCGACUCCAGAUACGGCGGCUAUGGGAUUGUUCAGCCUCAGGCCAAGGAGAAAUCCUUACUCGGCUAGCCGAUGCUGGCAGCGACGGCGUUUGCGGAUGUCGUUUUCCUUCUUGGAGGCGCUGGCCCUCAGUUGCGUCCCUCUUCGAGCUCAGGGGAAACCCUAGGUCUGGUUCCUCCGGACCGGAUGGCGACGACGUUUUGGCGUCGACUUCCUUCUUGAAGGCGCUAUCUUGUUCGCUCGUGGUGUCCCCGGUUCUGGCUUAGGUGAUGUUGGAAUUCUUGCUGGUUCGGCAUUGCCAUUCUUGAUUUGGGUUUGGUUGGUUUAGCUGUGAUGUAUCCCCUGUCCGGGCUGAGCAUCCCUUGUGUCUCUGCUCCGGACACCAUGUUUAUGCCUGUAUGCGUUCGUGUCAUGUGUUGUACCUCUAUUUGUACUCAUUCUACUCCUUCUAUCAAUGCAAUGAUACGCAAGCUUUGCGUAUUCGCG
rnacentral:rRNA from 1 species